CUCAGGAUGAACGCUGGCGGCGUGCUUAACACAUGCAAGUCGAACGGUGAAGCCAAGCUUGCUUGGUGGAUCAGUGGCGAACGGGUGAGUAACACGUGAGCAACCUGCCCUGGACUCUGGGAUAAGCGCUGGAAACGGCGUCUAAUACUGGAUAUGAGACGUGAUCGCAUGGUCGUGUUUGGAAAGAUUUUUCGGUCUGGGAUGGGCUCGCGGCCUAUCAGCUUGUUGGUGAGGUAAUGGCUCACCAAGGCGUCGACGGGUAGCCGGCCUGAGAGGGUGACCGGCCACACUGGGACUGAGACACGGCCCAGACUCCUACGGGAGGCAGCAGUGGGGAAUAUUGCACAAUGGGCGAAAGCCUGAUGCAGCAACGCCGCGUGAGGGAUGACGGCCUUCGGGUUGUAAACCUCUUUUAGCAGGGAAGAAGCGAAAGUGACGGUACCUGCAGAAAAAGCGCCGGCUAACUACGUGCCAGCAGCCGCGGUAAUACGUAGGGCGCAAGCGUUAUCCGGAAUUAUUGGGCGUAAAGAGCUCGUAGGCGGUUUGUCGCGUCUGCUGUGAAAUCCCGAGGCUCAACCUCGGGCCUGCAGUGGGUACGGGCAGACUAGAGUGCGGUAGGGGAGAUUGGAAUUCCUGGUGUAGCGGUGGAAUGCGCAGAUAUCAGGAGGAACACCGAUGGCGAAGGCAGAUCUCUGGGCCGUAACUGACGCUGAGGAGCGAAAGGGUGGGGAGCAAACAGGCUUAGAUACCCUGGUAGUCCACCCCGUAAACGUUGGGAACUAGUUGUGGGGACCAUUCCACGGUUUCCGUGACGCAGCUAACGCAUUAAGUCCCCGCCU
rnacentral:rRNA from 1 species